AACGAACGCUGGCGGCAUGCCUAACACAUGCAAGUCGAACGAGACCUUCGGGUCUAGUGGCGCACGGGUGCGUAACGCGUGGGAAUCUGCCCUUAGGUACGGAAUAACUCAGGGAAACUUGAGCUAAUACCGCAUAAUGACUCCGGUCCAAAGAUUUAUCGCCUAGGGAUGAGCCCGCGUAGGAUUAGCUAGUUGGUGAGGUAAAAGCUCACCAAGGCGACGAUCCUUAGCNGGUCUGAGAGGAUGAUCAGCCACACUGGGACUGAGACACGGCCCAGACUCCUACGGGAGGCAGCAGUGGGGAAUAUUGGACAAUGGGCGAAAGCCUGAUCCAGCAAUGCCGCGUGAGUGAUGAAGGCCUUAGGGUUGU
rnacentral:rRNA from 1 species